GCCAAGAAGAUCUCUCUGUCUUCUGUAUAUACCCUGUAGAUCCGAAUUUGUGUAAGGAAUUUUGUGGUCACAAAUUCGUAUCUAGGGGAAUAUGUAGUUGACAUAAACACUCCGUUCAUUU
rnacentral:precursor_RNA from 12 species